rnacentral:rRNA from 1 species
GUCCACGCUGUAAACGAUGGAUACUAGGUGUAGGGGCAUUAACCCCUCUGUGCCGAAGCCAACGCGUUAAGUAUCCCGCCUGGGGACUACGGCCGCAAGGUUAAACUCAAAGGAAUUGACGGGGCCCGCACAAGCAGCGGAGCGUGUGGUUUAAUUCGAUGAUACGCGAAGAACCUUACCUGGGUUUGACAUCGGGGUAGUAGCAAGGUGAAAGCUAAGCGACCCUUCGGGGAGCCUUGACAGGUGCUGCAUGGCUGUCGU